CUCCGAACAACCGCUCAUGGGCUGGGCAAACCCGGAGACUUUCUAGCAGCUUCUGCAGGGUUUGGCUUCGCGCGGCUGACGUGCGCCCGGAGCGGGCCCGCGGGCGCGAGGCGAAGGGGCGGGAGCUCGGCCGCUGCCCGCUCUGGGGCAGGGGGGCCGGGCUGGAAGCCGGGGAACGGGAGUAUUAAUAAAGUGUGCCUGACCAGACCUUUCCCUGCUCAUGCUGGAUGGAAACUGGUUCAUGGAGUCUGACAACGAGGCCCCGGUGGCGUUGGGGGAUGUCACUUUUCAGCCAGAUGGCCAGGAGUCGUCUCCUUCCAUCCAAGAAGACUCUUGAACCUUGGUGAGGUUCCAGUUGUGGUUUGAGCAGGUUCACAAGCAGGAAUGUCGUGUAUCUCCUGUCCUGGGGACAGUGCAAUGCUCUGUGGCAGAGCCUGGCUGAAGUUUGUACAGAACUUCAAAGCCUUGUCUACACUAGGGAAUUUUACCCAAAAAGUUUGAGUGGUGGCCGUGUUAGUCUGUAUCAGCAAGAUACUGAUGAAGUGGGUUCUAGCCCACGAAAGUUUAUGCCCAAAUAAAUUUGUUAGUCUCUAAGGUGCCA
rnacentral:lncRNA from 1 species